AUUCCGAGGCGUUUCCUCCCGGGUUUCACGGCCCAGAAUGUCCCGAGGUGGAAGGGACCCACAAGGAUCACCGACUCCAACCCCUGGACCCACACAGGACCACCGAAAAUUCAAACCUUGUGUCUUCUAGCAAUGCCCAAACGCUCCUUGAACUCCAGCACUCUGCCGUACCCACUGCCCUGGGCAGCCUGUUCCAUGCCCACCGCCCUCUGGUCUGGUGAGGAGCCUUUCCCUAACUCCCAACCUGUCCGUCCCCAGACAGCUCCAUACCACAGAGACGAGAAAGUUCAUGAGACAAAGAGAGGGAGAAAUCUUACCAACUGCCAUCGUGAUCAAAGUAAACUUGACUGAGGGAAAACUUUAGAGCCCUUUCAUGUAAAAUAGAAGAUGUGUCUCCUGCUGUAGGAGCAGAAGAUAAGAGGAGAUGCUCUGGAAAAGCAGCAGGGAAGUGUUGCCUGAGCUCAGGGUGCCCAGGCCAGCAGAAAGGAGGAAGCAGACCCACAGGCCAGAAGUGGCUGCUAACACAGGGGGUGACAGAUGCUCUUUUGGUGGUAGCUGUACCGCCAAACCUUGUGCUCAGCAGGCUUGAGGCCUGCCCUGAGCUUUGGGUGCUACAGCCAUCUGCGUGCACCAGCGAUACUGACAGCACCACAAGUCCGUGCCAUCUUCUGCUUAGAAGAGAAGUUGGAUGGAGGGUCCUUCUUUACAAGGAGCUACGUGGAGAAGACAAGGAGCAUGAGAACUAUCAGACUUCCUCCAGAUGUGGCAGAGUCCCCAUGACUGUAGUUUUUUGAGGUGUGAUUGGACAGGGUGCUUGACAAUCACAUCUAGGUUUCCUAUUCCCACAAAAAGUUGGGCCUGGCAAUCUUUUGUGAUCCAUUGCAACCUGAAUUGUACCACUAUUCUGUGAGGUUAUCCUUUUUAGUGCCUAAGUAGCUUUUUAAUUGCAGGGCAGAGGUUCUAUUUGUGUAGGGAGGGAUGGCUGAAGCCUGGCGUACACACUGUCCUCAUAACUUGGAGGUGUGACAGACUACCAAAAGCAAUUGGUCAGAGGUAGCAAUGUGUUAAUUUGUUGUUGCAUAAUUCAUCAAAAUUUGUUUAUCUGAAGUCUUAUUUUAUGUUGUUGUACAGCCUAUUGAUGUUCUUCCAGGUCCAAGCAGUUAAUUUUACAGGGUGGCUUUAUCUAUGGUGCCAGCCUGCCACGCACAUUGUCUUUGUGGGUGAGAACAGUGGCUGGUUGAUGUUCCCAAGGAGACUGGUGAAAAGUGAGGUCUCCAACAGAAAUGGACAAGACAUCACUUAUUUGCAACCAUGGUGAAACCCUGGCAAAAUAUACUCAAAGGCUAUGACUGUGCUGGACUCUUCCUACACUUACUUUAGGGAAUUACACAGGAUCUGAAUCCCUGAACAAUCCCCACAUGCUGUAAGGGAUCAGGUCAACAUUCAUAGACCUUCAGCAGCAUCAUUUUAAUAUUCAAGCAUUGACUGUAAAAAACCUCCUGCUGUUAAAGUCAACAAAUAAAGGAUUACAUCUUUU
rnacentral:lncRNA from 7 species